rnacentral:tRNA from 1 species
GCGGGCAUAGUUCAGUUGGUAGAACACCUCCUUGCCAAGGAGAAGGUCACGAGUUCGAGUCUCGUUGCCCGCUCUA